GACGAACGCUGGCGGCGUGCCUAAUACAUGCAAGUCGAGCGGAUGAUGAGAGAAGCUUGCUUCUCUCUGAUUUAGCGGCGGACGGGUGAGUAACACGUGGGUAACCUACCUUAUAGAUUGGGAUAACUCCGGGAAACCGGGGCUAAUACCGAAUAAUACUUUUAAACACAUGUUUUGAAGUUGAAAGACGGUUUCGGCUGUCACUAUAAGAUGGACCCGCGGCGCAUUAGCUAGUUGGUGAGGUAACGGCUCACCAAGGCAACGAUGCGUAGCCGACCUGAGAGGGUGAUCGGCCACACUGGGACUGAGACACGGCCCAGACUCCUACGGGUGGCUG
rnacentral:rRNA from 1 species